rnacentral:rRNA from 1 species
UGGGGAAUAUUGCACAAUGGGCGCAAGCCUGAUGCAGCAACGCCGCGUGAGGGACGACGGCCUUCGGGUUGUAAACCUCUUUUAGUAGGGAAGAAGCGAAAGUGACGGUACCUGCAGAAAAACGCACCGGCUAACUACGUGCCAGCAGCCGCGGUAAUACGUAGGGUGCGAGCGUUGUCCGGAAUUAUUGGGCGUAAAGAGCUCGUAGGCGGUCUGUCGCGUCUGCUGUGAAAACCCGAGGCUCAACCUCGGGCCUGCAGUGGGUACGGGCAGACUAGAGUGCGGUAGGGGAGAAUGGAAUUCCUGGUGUAGCGGUGGAAUGCGCAGAUAUCAGGAGGAACACCGAUGGCGAAGGCAGUUCUCUGGGCCGUAACUGACGCUGAGGAGCAAAAGCGUGGGGAGCGAACAGGAUUAGAUACCCUGGUAGUCCACGCCGUAAACGUUGGGCGCUAGAUGUGGGGACCAUUCCACGGUUUCCGUGUCGCAGCUAACGCAUUAAGCGCCCCGCCUGGGGAGUACGGCCGCAAGGCU